rnacentral:misc_RNA from 1 species
GAUGAAGAACGCAGCGAAAUGCGAUAAGUAAUGUGAAUUGCAGAAUUCAGUGAAUCAUCGAAUCUUUGAACGCAUCUUGCGCUCCUUGGUAUUCUGAGGAGCAUGCCUGUUUGAGUGUCAUUAAAUUCUCAACUACACUGACUUUGAAUUGGUGUGGCUUGGAUUUGGGGGGAAAAUUGUUGUGGGCUUUUUGUAUAGUCUGCUCACCUGAAAUUGAUUAGCGGUACCUUUGUGGAACUGUCUACAGGUGUGAUAAUUAUCUACAUCUUAGACAUCUGCUGGAAUGCUGCUUUCUAAACCUUACUUGUAUUGACAAUCUUGACCUCAAAUCAGGUAGGACUACCCGCUGAACUUAAGCAUAUCAAUAAGCGGAGGA